rnacentral:rRNA from 1 species
GACGAACCGUGCGAACGUUAUUCGGAAUCAUUGGGCUUAAAGGGUGCGUAGGUGGCAGGGUAAGUCGGAUGUGAAAUCCCGGGGCUCAACCUCGGAACUGCAUUCGAUACUGCUUUGCUGGAGUACUGGAGAGGAGAUUGGAAUUUACGGUGUAGCAGUGAAAUGCGUAGAUAUCGUAAGGAAGACCAGUGGCGAAGGCGAAUCUCUGGACAGUUACUGACACUGAGGCACGAAGGCCAGGGGAGCAAACGGG